GAGUUUGCGAUAUAGUGUAAGCUCUACAGCGAAAGCGUUAAGUAAUCCACCUGGGGAGUACGCCGGCAACGGUGAAACUCAAAGGAAUUGACGGGGGCCCGCACAAGCGGAGGAACAUGUGGUUUAAUUCGAUGAUGGCGGCGCCGUCGGGGACGGGAAGGCUGCCGGUGAUGAAGUCGUUUUGGAUGUCGACUAAAAGGAGGGCUGUUUUCAUUUCUGGGGGUGGAUUGAGAUACUUAAUAAUAUUAUUCAGAUUUGAGCGCCUCAAGGGCUGUCAAGUUUUUUGUUACUUCUUCAAUGAAUUGGGAGUCUUCAUCGCUAAAGACGCAGC
rnacentral:ncRNA from 1 species